CGCGGGGCUGGCUGGGAGGCCCGAGUUCGCAGGUGCCGAGCUCCGUCCGCCUUCCGCCGCUGCUGCGCGCUUGGGCCGCCCGCCCGCUCUCGCGCUGGGGCUCGGUUCGGGCUCAGCUGGCUCCCUCCGCCCCCCCGCCCGCGGCUCUGAUGUCAGAGGAGGAGGAGCCUGCGGCGGAGGGACUAGGGACUGGGAGGGUCCCCGUUUCACAGAAGGAACAACUGAGGCACAGAGAUGAAGGGUUCAGAAUCAGCAAUUGGUCAGAAGAAGAGUCGAAUUCGAACCCAAGUCUGUCUGAUGCCGGAAGCUGGCCAUUUUCACCCUGUCUCUUGGAGUUUCUUUCAGACCAUUUCCGUGAGCUCCGUUAAGAGUGAUCUCCUCUACCUGGCAGGAAGCAUGGUGUGAGGCAGCCCCAACUUUCCAACUGAACCCAGCAAAAUAGGAGCUACACCCAGUUUCAUGUAUCAGUCUCAGGGAAGGACUCCGAUGGGCUCUGCUGGAGUGACAUGCCUAUGCCUUUACCCCCAGAACUGUUGCCAGAGGAAUAAGGUACUAUACAGGGAUCUUAGUUCCCCGACCAGGGAUCGAACCUGAGCCACAGCAGUGAAAGUGCCAAGUUCUAACCACUGGACCACCAGGGAGUUCCUUGUGUCAUAUUUUAGAUUCCACACGACAGAGAUGAGGAAGCAUUUGGCCUCCAUCAGCUGCUACUGGCUGCCACUGCACAGCUGGAAGGGACCCUACUUUAGGCAAAAGCUGACACCGUGGGAGUGUGGAGACACCUGGACCCUUGAUGGCCUUGCUGAGUUGCUGGAUUGGCCAACCCUGGAUGCCACCCUGCCCCAGGACCACCAAACCCCUAGCUAACACAUUUCAUUGUUGUUAAACCACCUUGAGCUGGGAUGUUCUGUUACCUGCGGCCACAAGUAUCUUCAGAAAGUUCUCCCUCAAUGAAUGACCAAGGCGAGUGGCCACAGGCUGAGAGCCCUCAAGCAUGCCCUCCUAAACUAUGCCACCCACACAAGUUCCUUUCUACCCCACAGUAACAGACAUUCAAAGAUUCUGGAUGCUUUUAAAAAAAACCCACAUCAGUCACUUUAUUCUUAAGUUUGUACUUUACAAAACCACAAGGGAGAAGUCCUUGAGGGUGAAAGGGGUAGGGGAGUGGGAGAUGGUGAAGAGGGGGACGAGGACAACCCAGAAAUGAAGUCCCCCCCAUCUUGGGGGACCAAGCAGAGACUGGGCCCCAGGCCAGCCCAGCAGGGCCUCUCGUGUCCUGGCUGUACAGAGCUGGGCCAAAAGACCUCAGGGAAGGGUCACAGCUUCUAGAGACUGUCGCUGUUAGACAGGCAGCCACAGGCUGAGGCUUCUGGCAGCCCAAAGAAGGAAGUGGGCCUCCCCCUCCCAAGCCAGGGGGAGGCAGCCUGAGGCAGGGGUGAGAGCUACCCGUCCAGCAGCUUUAGGAUGCUCUCACGCUCCUUCAGAGUCUUCCAGGCCUGGUCCUUCUCCUUCUUGGUGGGGGUCCGCUUCUUCUGCCGGGCAGCCAUGAUCUUGCGGAAGGCGUCCAUGACCUCAUUGUCUGCCAUGCGGACCCGCUGCCUCAGCUCCUGCCGACUCACCUCCUCCUUUGCCAGCCUGUGGGGACCAGCCAGCCAGGUGCCAUGGGAAGCCCACCAGAGUAGGGCUCCUCCCUCUUCCAGACUGAGCCCACCCCAAUACCCAGGGCUGCCACUCCUGUGGACCGUUUCAUACCAAAAAGCAAAGUAAUUGAGCCACGCUUACAUGGUGCCCUGUGCCAGGUACUACCUCUUCAAAAAUAUCAGCUCAGUUAAUCCUCCUAACAACCUUGUGAGGUAGGUACUAUUAUUCCUAUGUUACCAGUGAGGAAACUGAGGCUCAAGGAGGAUAAGAAAUGCCCCAAGAUCCCACAACUAGUGAGGAGGAGAUCUGAAUCAAGGCAGGCUUGCUCCAAACAAUCUUCUUUAAAAGGUGUUCUGGGGGCUUCCCUGGUGGCACAGUGGUUAAGAAUCCACCUGCCAAUGCAGGGGACACGGGUUCGAGCCCUGGUCCGGGAAGAUCCCACAUGCCGCGGAGCAACUAAGCCCGUGCGCCACAACUACUGAGCCUGCGCUCUAGAGCCCGUGAGCCAAAACUACUGAGCCUGUGUGCCACAACUACUGAGCCUGCGCUCUAGAGCCCGUGCUCUGCAACAAGAGAAGCCACUGCAAUGAGAAGCCUGUGCAAGGCAAUGAAGAGUAGCCGCAGCUCUCUUCAACUAGAGAAAGCCCGUGCACCGCAACGAAGACCCAAUGCAGCCAAAAAUAAAUAGAUGAAAUAAAUAAAUUUUAAAAAAGAAAGAAAAAAAAAAGGUGUUCUGGUGCCAGCAGAAGACCUGCUUACUUCAGCAUCCAAAUUCCAGAGCAACCUAAGGGUCUAGACAGCCUGAGGUCUACAGGAGGUGAGUGAGAUACCAAACUGACCCCUCCGAAUGGAACCUGACCUAUGAAUUCAAUUCAUGGUGGAGCUGGAAGGUCACUUAGAGAUCUAUCUAAUCCAACCUGUUAAUUUUUCAGAAGGGGAAGCUGCUGCUCAGGGCAGGAGAUGCCUUGCUUAAGGCCCUGCAGCUAGCCCAUGCAGGGCUGAGGGCUGCACGCUGGCCUUCUGAUAGCCAAGCUAGUUCCUUCACUGCCCAUUACUUCUAUAGCUGCACAUCCCCACUUCUCUCUCUCUCCCCUCCCCCUCCCUACCUCAGUACUCUUUCAUCUGUAUUUUCCUCUUCUUGCCCUUGAAAGGGAACUAGAAAGAGGCUUUGGAUUCAGCCUUGGGCUCUAGUCACAGCUUAGCUGUUUAUUGGCUGUGUGACCUUCAGCAGAGCACUCAUUUCACUGGGCCUUUAUUUCCUCAUUUGGUAAACAGGGAAAACUACCAUCUACUCCCUGGGCUAUAGCAGAGAUUAAGUAAGAGGGUGUACAUAAAGCCCCUGGCACAUGGUAGGCACUCAGUAUACCCUCAUCCUUAAAUACCCUAGCAGCUUGCCAGCAACUUCUUCUCCUUCUAAUGAUGCACAUCUUUACCAACCACUCGCGUGGUGACUGCAAGCCCUUCACCCUGCCUCUCUUCCUAACCCAGCACAACGUCUAAGAGACAGGCAGAGGUGGCCAAAUGAACGAGCGUGCCCUGCUCUGUUGGGGCUCUGUGAGGCGGAGACACAGCACCUGCCUACGAGGAGCAAGGGGACUUAGUUUGGCUGCUUCUCUAUCUCCCCAAUAAAAGGGUAGCCACUACCGUGAUCUCCUUACAGAUACCACCUGCACCCUUGUUGUGACCAGUGCAGGGCAAGAUGGAUGGGAAUGAAUAGAAAAUGAAUGACAUCGCACUAAAACAUUGGUCAGUUCCUGGUGAGGGGCUGGUAGUAAUCACAGAUGCUCAAGAAAAUGUUAACAGUUGAUAAACUGAGAUGGAGAGUAUACUGGUGUUUACUGUACUAUUCCGUCAGAUUUUCUGUGUGUGUGAAAUUUUUCACAAUAAAACUCGGGGGGAAAAAGAAAAUAAGCAUGGAAAGACUUAAAAAAUAAACCACGCAACAAUGCAAAUAUAGUUACCACCACUGAACCGUACACUUGAAAAUGGUUUAGAGGGUAAAUUUUGUGUUAUUUGUUUUUACCACAAUUAGAAGUGAAUAAGCAAGUCACAGAUGCCUGAGCUCUAGUCUGUGGAAUGAGAAUCUGUUUGAGACAAAACUAGUGGGGUGGUGCCCGGCACUGACAUUUUUUUCAAAGCCCUCCGGGUGAUUUAGACGCCCUGCCGGGUUUGGAAAGCCUGUCAUAAAGCUCCCGGAAGGUCACCAGCAUGGCCAAGGCCUCGCUGGCCACCCCCUGGCCCGGGCAUCCUGUCCACACUCACCUCAGCAGGUCGUGCUUCUUGGUGCGGUUGUGGGCACUGAGCGCUUUCAGCUCGGCCUGCCGUUUGCGCAGCUCCGCCAGAACUUCGUCCUCCGAGUCCUCUGCAGGGCGGUCCUCAGAUUCCAGCAGGCCCUGGGCGAUCAGCUCCUCCUUGAUGCGGCUCUCCAGGGACUUGGUAUGCGGCACACUGCAGGGAAAGGCAGUGCUCAGCUCAAGGGCCAGCCUGAAGGGGGGACCGCUCUGAGGUGCCCAAGGUUAGUGAACACCUUCCUUUCUCUUUGGGCACCGCCUCUCUAUCUAUCUACACGUAAAAAUACAGAGAGAGACACAUCUGGUCUUGUUGUAAACAUAAGCAACAGUUAUCAAUAUGCUAUGUAAUAUAAAAUACAGAAAAACCUACAAUGCUAACGAC